GGGCGCUCGGUCGGGCCGCGGGCGCUGCGUUGCGUUGCGUUGCGUUGCGGAGGUCGGACGCCGAGCGAAGCGAGCCGCCGGGCGGCUGCGGGCAAACGUGGCCGAAUACGUGCAACGUAAACACGGACGGUUCCCUUUGUGAUGUUAAAGCGCUCCCUUUCUGCACCUCAGCUCCCCGCUCGGAGCGUCGCGCGGUGGUUACACCGAGGCGGGGGGCGGUCCCGUUUCGGACGCGGGGUUCUCAGUCGGCGGGUGGAAACGUGAAUUUCCGAGCUCGGCUCCCGGCUGCGCUCGGGCGGAGCGGGAGAGGAAAUCCCGGCGCCCGCAGGAUGGGGCCCGCGGUUCCGAGGCGCUCCCCACGUGCGUCCGCUUUAGGCCUCGCGGCACCGCCAGGGCGAACGGCUCCGUUGGGCGCACGCUGCGCUGCCGGCGCGCCGCUCCGACGCUUCGGCGUAGCGAUGAGCGCCGCUGCGACGACGGACGGAGCGCCGAGCCCGGCGGACGGCAUUCCGCGGAUUUGCGUUUUGCCAGGAAGCGGCGAGGCGUGACGGCGGCAAGGUGGGCUCCGGGGCGGCCGUCCUCCGUCCCGUGGCACCGCUGUCACAUAGAGACACGACGCAGAAGAAAAGACAUAAAAUGGAGGAGAAGAAAAACCAUAAAAUGGAGGAGAGGACAAAGCUCAGAGCUGCGGGUUUACGAAGGUGCGGCUUCAGAUUUGAAUAUCCUGGGGCUCUUCCGUUCUUGAUCCGGGCUUCAGCUCUGAGCCGGAGGUUGGUGUCGGUGUCCGAAGGACCGGCAGGGAGCACACAGCUGCACAGCGGGAAUUCCAACUUUAAUGACAUCGGAGUAAGUCCCUGCCUUCACAACAGGCCUACAAGACAUGUUCAUGGAUACUCCGAAGAGUUAGAAAUCAAAAGACAGAUUCCUUAAAAGCAAAUGGAAGUCACAGAUGUACAAACAGAGGAAGGAUUUGGGCCAUUUUUGUUACAGUCUGAAGAAAAGUCAAAUAUAAUCUACCAGCACCAAGAUGCUGUGCAGGUUCUCUGUGAUAAAGCAAAGAAGAAUACAAGGAGGGACCGGUGCAGGCAAUUAACAUCAACUGUUAGGACACUGAUUGCAGAACCCUAUCUUCCAGCACAAGUCCUCCAGCUCUCCUGCCAGCUGCAAAGGAAC
ensembl:lncRNA